rnacentral:rRNA from 1 species
AUUGAACGCUGGCGGCAUGCUUUACACAUGCAAGUCGAACGGCAGCGCGGGCUUCGGCCUGGCGGCGAGUGGCGAACGGGUGAGUAAUGCAUCGGAACGUGCCCAGUAGUGGGGGAUAGCCCGGCGAAAGCCGGAUUAAUACCGCAUACGACCUGAGGGUGAAAGCGGGGGACCGAAAGGCCUCGCGCUAUUGGAGCGGCCGAUGUCGGAUUAGCUAGUUGGUGGGGUAAAGGCUUACCAAGGCGACGAUCCGUAGCUGGUCUGAGAGGACGACCAGCCACACUGGGACUCAGACACGGCCCAGACUCCUACGGGAGGCAGCAGUGGGGAAUUUUGGACAAUGGGGGCAACCCUGAUCCAGCCAUGCCGCGUGCGGGAAGAAGGCCUUCGGGUUGUAAACCGCUUUUGUUCGGGAAGAAAUCCUCUGGGCUAAUACCCCGGGGGGAUGACGGUACCGGAAGAAUAAGCACCGGCUAACUACGUG